AAGUUUAUUGUAUAAAGUGCACCAAAUUAAUGUUUAUGUAUAACAUUACAAAUUGUAUCAAAUUUCAUGUAUAAUUUUAGUAUUUAUCCUAAAGAAAAAACUCAAAUAUUAUGAUCAACCUCUAAAUUUAUUAAUUUCUUAUAAUUAUAAACUCGUAAUUUGACUAGGAUGAAGCUUGGGUGAAAGUAAGUGGAGGUCUGAACCAACUGAUGUUGAAGAAUCAGCGGAUGAGUUGUGGUUAGGGGUGAAAUGCCACUCGAACCCAGAGCUAGCUAGUUCUCCCCAAAAUGCCUUGAGGCACAACAGUUGACUGGACAUCUAGGGGUAAAACGCUAUUUCGGUGCAGGUCAUGAGAGCAGUACCAAAUCGAGGAAACUCUAAAUACUAAAUAUGACCUCAAAAUAAUAGGGGUUGAGGUCGGCUAGUGAGACGACGGGGGAUAAGCUUCAUCGUCGAGAGGGAAACAUCCCGGAUCACUAGCUAAAGUCCCUAAAUGACCGCUCAGUGAUAAAGAAGGUUGGGGUGUAGAGAUAGCCAGGAGGUUUGCCUAGAAGUAGCCACCCUUGAAAGAGUGCGUAAUAGCUCACUGAUCAGCGCUCUUGCGAAGAGUGUAUAAUAGCUCAUUGAUCAAGCGCUCUUGCGCCAAAGAUGAACGAGGCUAAGCGAUCUGCCGAAGCUGUGGGAUGUAAAAGUACAUCGAUAGGGGAGAGUUCUGCCUUAGGGGGAAGCACUCUCAUGAACGGGAGUAGAUGAAGCGGAAAUGAGAAUGUCGGCUUGAGUAACGCAAACAUUGGUGAGAAUCUAAUGCCCAGAAAACCCAAAGGUUCCUCCGCAACGUCGUCCACGGAGGAUGAAUCAGGGCCUAAGAUCAGGUCGAAAGGCGUAGUCAAUAGACAACAGAUGAAUAUUCCUGUACUACCCCUUGUUGGUCCCGGGGGACAGAGGAGGCUAAGUUAGCCGAAAGAUGGUUAUCAGUUCAUGGACACAAGGUGCCCCUACUUUUUCAGGGUAAGAAGGGGUAAAGAAAAUGCCCUAAACCAAUGUUCAAGUACCAGGCGCUACGGCGCUGAAGUAACCUAUACUAUACUCCUAGAAAAAACUCGAACGACCUUCAAAAAAAGGGUACCUGUACUCGAAACUGACACAAGUGGGUAGGUAGAGAAUACCUAGGGCGAGAGACAACUCUCUCUAAGGAACUCGAUAAAAUAGCUCUGUAACUUUGGGAGAACGGGUGCCUCAUCACAAAGGGGGUCACAGUGACCAGGCCUAGGCGACUGUUUACCAAAAACACAAGUAUCCACAAAGUCAUAAGACCAUGUAUGGGGGUUGAUGCCUACCCAGUGCCGGACCUGAUGACAAGGGAGCCGGCGACUGAAGCCCCAGUGAACGGCGGUCGUAACUAUAACGGUCCUAAGAUAGAAAAAUUCCUUGUCGAGUAAGUUUCGACCCCCAAAAAAGGCGUAACGAUCUGGGCACUGUCAUGGAGAGAGACUUAGUGAAAUAAACAUUUCUGUGAAGAUGCGAACUACCCGCACUUGGACAGAAAAACCCUAUGAAGCUUCACUGCUCCCUGGGAUUGGCUUUGGGCUUUUCCUGCAGAGCUUAGGUGGAAGGCGAAGAAGGCCUCCUUUCGGGAGGGCUUGAGCCAUCAAUGAGAUACCACUCUAGAAGAGCUAGAAUUCUAACAUUGUGUCAGGACUUACGGGCCAAGGGACAGUCUUAGGUAAAUAAUUUCUACGGGGCGUAGGCCUCCCAAAAGGUAAUGGAGGCGUGCAAAGGUUUCUUCGAGCCGGACAGAGAUUGGCCCUCGAGUGCAAAGCCAGAAGGGAGCUUGACUGCAAGACCUACCUGUCGAGUAAGGAAAAAAGUUGGCCUUAGUGGUCCGACGGUGCCGAGUGGAAGGGCUGUCGCUCAACGAAUAAAAGUUACUCUAGGGAUAACAGGCUAAUCUUCCCCAAGAGUUCACAUCAACGGGAAGCAUAAUAGGGAGUUGAUAAAAUAAUUUUAUUAAUUUUUUAUAAUUAUAAUAUCAUAAUUUGAAUAAUUAAUAAAAUUCA
rnacentral:rRNA from 1 species